rnacentral:rRNA from 1 species
UACGUGAGGGUGCAAGCGUUUGUCCGGAAUUAUUGGGCGUAAAGAGCUCGUAGGCGGUUUGUCGCGUUCUGCUGUGAAAACUCGGGGCUUAACCCCGGGCCUGCAGUGGGUACGGGCAGACUAGAGUGCGGUAGGGGAGACUGGAAUUCCCGGUGUAGCGGUGAAAUGCGUAGAUAUCGUGAGGAAGACCAGUGGCGAAGGCGGGUCUCGUGGACAGCUUCCGUCGACGCUGAGGCGCGAAGGCCAGGGGAGCAAACGGG